rnacentral:rRNA from 1 species
CGCUGGCGGCAUGCCUAACACAUGCAAGUCGAACGAGACCUUCGGGUCUAGUGGCGCACGGGUGCGUAACACGUGGGAAUUUGCCUCGGGGUAUGGAAUAACUCAGGGAAACUUGAGCUAAUACCAUAUAAUGUCUUCGGACCAAAGAUUUAUCGCCCUGAGAUAAGCCCGCGUAGGAUUAGCUAGUUGGUGGGGUAAAGGCUCACCAAGGCGACGAUCCUUAGCUGGUCUGAGAGGAUGAUCAGCCACACUGGGACUGAGACACGGCCCAGACUCCUACGGGAGGCAGCAGUGGGGGAAUAUUGGACAAUGGGCGAAAGCCUGAUCCAGCAAUGCCGCGUGAGUGAUGAAGGCCUUCGGGUUGUAAAGCUCUUUUACUCGGGACGAUAAUGACGGUACCGAGAGAAUAAGCCCCGGCUAACUCCGUG